ACUGUACAAAGGUGAGUAACAAAGACAAAAAAUGUUCCAAAAUGAAGCCUAAAACUACAAAGUAUUAUUAUUCAUUAAGAUUCAGAAGAACCAUUAUUCAACUUUGUUCCCAUGGAAGCAGUACAUUCAGAUAGAAACAAGGGAAAUCAAUUGCACCUAAAAAGACCAAAUCGUGAAGAUAACGGUGUGACUUCGUAUACAUUUAUAAAAAAGCCUGCCCUGGGAUUCAAGAUUGUACGCAUUGAAAUAUAUGAUGCCAAAGAUUUCAUGGACCGAGAAGACACCCUCUGCAAAUGUAAAGCGGAGUUGUGUGCACAAUAUGUCGUAAAACAUGUAUUAUUCGACGAUAUUUACAAAUCCGCAAAUGAAUUAAUUCAAAAGAUUCAAAAUAAUUUAGAGAAUUAAAGAAAUAAAUGUUCAGAUAUAAA